GACGAACGCUGGCGGCGUGCCUAAUACAUGCAAGUCGAGCGAAGUUUUUCUGAUGCUUGCACUAGAAAAACUUAGCGGCGAACGGGUGAGUAACACGUAAAGAACCUGCCUCAUAGACUGGGACAACUAUUGGAAACGAUAGCUAAUACCGGAUAACAGUAUUUCUCGCAUGAGAGAUAUUUAAAAGUUGGUUAUGCUAACACUAUGAGAUGGCUUUGCGGUGCAUUAGCUAGUUGGUGGGGUAAAGGCCCACCAAGGCGACGAGGCAUAGCCGACCUGAGCGGGUGAUCGGCCACACUGGGACUGAGACCCGGCCCAAACUCCUACGGGAGGCAGCAGUAGGGAAUCUUCCGCAAUGGGCGAAAGCCUGACGGAGCAACGCCGCGUGAGUGAAGAAGGAUUUCGGUUCGUAAAGCUCUGUUGUUAGGGAAGAAUGGAUAUGUAGUAACUAUACAUGUAAGAGACGGUACCUAACCAGAAAGCCACGGCUAACUACGUG
rnacentral:rRNA from 1 species